UACAGAGGGUGCAAGCGUUGUUCGGAAUUAUUGGGCGUAAAGCGCGUGUAGGCGGCUUUGCAAGUCGGGUGUGAAAGCCCUCAGCUUAACUGAGGAAGUGCGCCCGAAACUGCUUGGCUUGAGUACCGGAGAGGAUGGUGGAAUUCCCGAAGUAGAGGUGAAAUUCGUAGAUAUCGGGAGGAACACCAGUGGCGAAGGCGGCUUUCUGGACAUUUACUGACGCUGAGACGCGAAAGCGUGGGGAGCAAACAGG
rnacentral:rRNA from 1 species